UACAGAGGUCUCAAGCGUUGUUCGGAAUCACUGGGCGUAAAGGGUGCGUAGGCCGCACGGUAAGUCAGGUGUGAAAGCCCGGAGCUCAACUUCGGAAUUGCACCCGAUACUGCCGUGCUUGAGGACUGGAGAGGAGUCUGGAAUUCACAGUGGAGCAGUGAAAUGCGUAGAUAUUGUGAGGAACACUAGUGGCGAAGGCGAGACUCUGGACAGUUCCUGACGCUGAGGCACGAAGGCCAGGGGAGCAAACGGGG
rnacentral:rRNA from 1 species